rnacentral:misc_RNA from 1 species
GUAUUUUCCUUUCUUAUUCCAAGAUCCUCCGAAAAACUUGCGAUGGUCAUGAAAAAUGACGGAGCUACAAAUGGGCCGAUUCGACUUAUCAUCUCCCUACCUCUACGGGUAUAGGAAGCCGCGCUACGCCCUCACUCCCACGGUGCACAGUGUGAAGAUGUGGAAAACCGCGCCUCCCAAUUGGGAGAACGCAUAAUUUUCGCUAAUGAUCCCUCCGCAGGUUCACCUACGGAGA